rnacentral:rRNA from 1 species
GACGUAGGGCGCGAGCGUUGUCCGGAUUUAUUGGGCGUAAAGAGCUCGUAGGCGGCUUGUUGCGUCGACUGUGAAAACCCGCGGCUUAACUGCGGGCUUGCAGUUGAUACGGGCAGGCUAGAGUUCGGUAGGGGAGACUGGAAUUCCUGGUGUAGCGGUGAAAUGCGCAGAUAUCAGGAGGAGCACCGGUGGCGAAGGCGGGUCUCUGGGCCGAUACUGACGCUGAGGAGCGAAAGCGUGGGGAGCGAACAGG